rnacentral:rRNA from 1 species
CCCUUAGAUGUUCUGGGCCGCACGCGCGCUACACUGACGAAGUCAGCGAGCAUGUCCUACGCCGACAGGUGCGGGGAAUCUUGUCAACUUCGUCGUGAUGGGGAUUGAUUAUUGAAAUUCUUGAUCAUCAACGAGGAAUUCCUAGUAAGCGCAAGUCAGCAGCUUGCGUUGAUUACGUCCCUGCCCUUUGUACACACCGCCCGUCGCUACUACCGAUUGAAUGGUUUAGUGAGAUCUUCGGAUUGGCGCCACUGCGGCUCAGCAAUGGGCUCGGUGGAUGCCGAAAAGUUGAUCAAACUUGAUCAUUUAGAGGAAGUAAAAGUCGUAACA